rnacentral:rRNA from 1 species
UAAGGAAUAUUGCGCAAUGGGCGAAAGCCUGACGCAGCGACGCCGCGUGGGGGAUGAAGGUCUUCGGAUUGUAAACCCCUUUCGGGAGGGAAGAUGGAACGAGCAAUCGUUCGGACGGUACCUCCAGAAGCAGCCACGGCCAACUUCGUGCCAGCAGCCGCGGUAAUACGAAGGUGGCAAGCGUUGUUCGGAUUCACUGGGCGUACAGGGUGUGUAGGCGGUUUGGUAAGCCUUCUGUUAAAGCUUCGGGCCCAACCCGGAAAGCGCAGAGGGUACUGCCAGGCUAGAGGACGGGAGAGGAGCGCGGAAUUCCCGGUGUAGCGGUGAAAUGCGUAGAGAUCGGGAGGAAGGCCGGUGGCGAAGGCGGCGCUCUGGAACGUUUCUGACGCUGAGACACGAAAGCGUGGGGAGCAAACAGG